UCCGAUAUGGUGUAGUGGUAACAUAAUUGGUUUUCAUCCAGUUGCCUCGGGUUCGAUCCCCGAUAUCGGAU
rnacentral:tRNA from 1 species